rnacentral:rRNA from 1 species
UACAGAGGGUGCGAGCGUUGUUCGGAAUUACUGGGCGUAAAGCGCGCGCAGGCGGCUCUUUAAGUCUCGUGGUCAAAUGCCGGGGCUCAACCCCGAGCGUGCCGGGGAUACUGGAGGGCUGGAGACAGGUAGGAGCAAGCGGGAAUUCCGGGUGUAGCGGUGGAAUGCGUAGAGAUCCGGAAGAACACCGGAGGCGAAGGCGGCUUGCUGGACCUGGUCUGGACGCUGAGGCGCGAAAGCGUGGGGAGCGAACAGG